rnacentral:rRNA from 1 species
UCACUAAGAGAUGGUCCCGCGGUGCAUUAGCUAGUUGGUAAGGUAAUGGCUUACCAAGGCGAUGAUGCUUAGCCGAGCUGAGAGGCUGAUCGGCCACAUUGGGACUGAGACACGGCCCAGACUCCUACGGGAGGCAGCAGUAGGGAAUCUUCCACAAUGGGCGCAAGCCUGAUGGAGCAACGCCGCGUGAGUGAAGAAGGGUUUCGGCUCGUAAAACUCUGUUGUUAAAGAAGAACGUAUCUGAGAGUAACUGUUCGGAUAGUGACGGUAUUUAACCAGAAAGCCACGGCUAACUACGUGCCAGCAGCCGCGGUAAUACGUAGGUGGCAAGCGUUAUCCGGAUUUAUUGGGCGUAAAGGGAGUGCAGGCGGUUAUUUAAGUCUGAUGUGAAAGCCUUCGGCUUAACCGGAGAAGGGCAUCGGAAACUGGAUAACUUGAGUGCAGAAGAGGGUAGUGGAACUCCAUGUGUAGCGGUGGAAUGCGUAGAUAU